rnacentral:rRNA from 2 species
AAAUUGAAGAGUUUGAUCAUGGCUCAGAUUGAACGCUGGCGGCAGGCCUAACACAUGCAAGUCGAGCGGCAGCGGAAAGUAGCUUGCUACUUUGCCGGCGAGCGGCGGACGGGUGAGUAAUGUCUGGGAAACUGCCUGAUGGAGGGGGAUAACUACUGGAAACGGUAGCUAAUACCGCAUAAC